rnacentral:rRNA from 1 species
AUUGAACGCUGGCGGCAGGCCUAACACAUGCAAGUCGAACGAGUGGCGGACGGGUGAGUAAUGUCUGGGAAACUGCCUGAUGGAGGGGGAUAACUACUGGAAACGGUAGCUAAUACCGCAUACCAUCAGAUGUGCCCAGCUGGGAUUAGCUAGUUGGUGGGGUAACGGCUCACCAAGGCGACGAUCCCUAGCUGGUCUGAGAGGAUGACCAGCCAGAAUGGAACUGAGACACGGUCCAUACUCCUACGGGAGGCAGCAGUGGGGAAUAGUGCACAAUGGGCGAAAUCCUGAUGCAGCCAUGCCGCGGGAAUGAAGAAGGCCUUCGGGUUGUAAAGUACUUUCAGCGGGGAGGCGUUACCCGCAGAAGAAGCAACGGCUAACUCCGUGCCAGCAGCCUCGGUAAUUC